rnacentral:rRNA from 1 species
UACGUAGGGUGCAAGCGUUAAUCGGAAUUACUGGGCGUAAAGCGUGCGCAGGCGGUUAUGCAAGACAGAUGUGAAAUCCCCGGGCUUAACCUGGGAACCGCAUUUGUGACUGCAUAGCUGGAGUACGGCAGAGGGGGAUGGAAUUCCGCGUGUAGCAGUGAAAUGCGUAGAUAUCAAGUGGAACACCAGUGGCGAAGGCGAGUCCCUGGACAAAACCUGACACUGAGGCACGAAAGCUAGGGGAGCAAACAGG